AGUUAGAGUGUCCCAGGAGCAACUGUGGAGCAGCUCUGUCUUAGGACAUCCUCCGGCAUGCCCUAAACCACCAGAGAUCUGGGAAUGUGUUUGCUCCAAAACAGAAAGGGGGAUUAAUCUUGAGGCUAAAAUAAACCCCAGGCUCUUGUGGCUAAUAUGUUAUUCCUCAAUGCUAGAACUGUUCCAGGCAAGCUUUUUAUAUGGAUUUGAAAUGAUCUUCUAAGAGGCCCAGCUAUGUUGUGAAGAUGAUACAGACAGAGACGAAACUGUUAUGGAGGAUUUGGAAUGGAACAAGCAUGCUAAUGAGCCUAUGCAAAAAUGCAUCUAUUAGCCAGAUGGCUGCAUUUGUGGACAUUCCACUGAAAUAGAUGCCUGUGGUCCAAAACCUCCUUCUGCCACCACAUUAAAUACCUGACAAAACAAGUCAUUAUACUGUAUACCAAUAAUGUAGACCUUCAGCUUCUACUGCAUUAAAAUUAAACAGAUUUCAGUAUGAGUUACCUGUACCCUUUCUGGGCUGCAGCUGUCCAAAAGAACUUUCAGAAGUUUUGUUGAAGAGCAGUCUUCUACUGUAAUGGUACUAAUAGACAAGAAAAAAUGUUUCCCUAAAGCAACACCCCCCACCAUCAAUAUUUAUUGCUGUGUCUGCUCUCUAGCAUUUAGGAUUUUAAAGUUAUGCAGUUUUAUGAGAUGUUGUUAAAGGUAAUAUUA